rnacentral:lncRNA from 1 species
GAGGUGAGAUGGAUCACAGGCUCUCAAAAAUAGAUGGAGGUUGAAUAUCGAGUCGAAGUGGAGAUUGUUUAGAUUUGACACCUCAAGAUUUGAUUCACAUUGAGCCCACAGCGAGGUCCAGGUGACGAAUGAAGUCCAACGAACCCAAAAAUAGUCCAAACAGAGUCUAGACAGUGAAGAUACAUGCAAAAAAAAGGCUCGGACCAAAUGUCACAGUGCACGAGGUGACGACGGCCGGUGGCAGC